CGUGCUAUACAUGCAAGUCGAGCGGACAGAAGGGAGCUGCUCCCGGAUGUAGCGGCGGACGGGUGAGUAACACGUGGGUAACCUGCCUGUAAGACUGGGAUAACUCCGGGAAACCGGAGCUAAUACCGGAUAGUUCCUUGAACCGCAUGGUUCAAGGAUGAAAGACGGUUUCGGCUGUCACUUACAGAUGGACCCGCGGCGCAUUAGCUAGUUGGUGAGGUAACGGCUCACCAAGGCGACGAUGCGUAGCCGACCUGAGAGGGUGAUCGGCCACACUGGGACUGAGACACGGCCCAGACUCCUACGGGAGGCAGCAGUAGGGAAUCUUCCGCAAUGGACGAAAGUCUGACGGAGCAACGCCGCGUGAGUGAUGAAGGUUUUCGGAUCGUAAAGCUCUGUUGUUAGGGAAGAACAAGUGCAAGAGUAACUGCUUGCACCUUGACGGUACCUAACCAGAAAGCCACGGCUAACUACGUGCCAGCAGCCGCGGUAAUACGUAGGUGGCAAGCGUUGUCCGGAAUUAUUGGGCGUAAAGGGCUCGCAGGCGGUUUCUUAAGUCUGAUGUGAAAGCCCCCGGCUCAACCGGGGAGGGUCAUUGGAAACUGGGAAACUUGAGUGCAGAAGAGGAGAGUGGAAUUCCACGUGUAGCGGUGAAAUGCGUAGAGAUGUGGAGGAACACCAGUGGCGAAGGCGACUCUCUGGUCUGUAACUGACGCUGAGGAGCGAAAGCGUGGGGAGCGAACAGGAUUAGAUACCCUGGUAGUCCACGCCGUAAACGAUGAGUGCUAAGUGUUAGGGGGUUUCCGCCCCUUAGUGCUGCAGCUAACGCAUUAAGCACUCCGCCUGGGGAGUACGGUCGCAAGACUGAAACUCAAAGGAAUUGACGGGGGCCCGCACAAGCGGUGGAGCAUGUGGUUUAAUUCGAAGCAACGCGAAGAACCUUACCAGGUCUUGACAUCCUCUGACAACCCUAGAGAUAGGGCUUUCCCUUCGGGGACAGAGUGACAGGUG
rnacentral:rRNA from 1 species